rnacentral:rRNA from 1 species
UACGGGGGGAGCAAACGUUGUUCGGAAUUACUGGGCGUAAAGGGCGCGUAGGCGGCUCGAUUAGUGGAAUGUGAAAGACCCUGGCUCAACCAGGGACGUGCAUUCCAAACUGUCGAGCUUGAGUAUAGGAGAGGGUGGGGGAAUUCCCGGUGUAGCGGUGGAAUGCAUUGAUAUCGGGAGGAACACCAGUGGCGAAGGCGCCCACCUGGCCUAAUACUGACGCUCAGGCGCGAAAGCUAGGGGAGCAAACAGG